rnacentral:rRNA from 1 species
AGCAGCAGCCGCGGUAAUACGUAGGGUGCGAGCGUUAAUCGGAAUUACUGGGCGUAAAGCGUGCGCAGGCGGUUUUGUAAGACAGAGGUGAAAUCCCCGGGCUCAACCUGGGAACUGCCUUUGUGACUGCAAGGCUAGAGUACGGCAGAGGGGGAUGGAAUUCCGCGUGUAGCAGUGAAAUGCGUAGAUAUGCGGAGGAACACCGAUGGCGAAGGCAAUCCCCUGGGCCUGUACUGACGCUCAUGCACGAAAGCGUGGGGAGCAAACAGGAUUAGAGACCCCCGUAGUCCCUGUCUCUUAUAA